rnacentral:lncRNA from 10 species
CCUAGGCUGGCAGUAAUGAAAAUAUUUUUAAAAGGAUGUCUGCUCCUCUAUGUUUCCCUCAGUCUUGACUGCCUUCAAAGGCUGAGGAAGGUCACAAGAAGGCUCCUAUAACUAUAGUAUGGUGUUGUCCAAAAAGGAAAAAAGAAAAAGGAAACUGACCAUCAGGCCUCCCAGAGAGUAUCAAGGAGCUGAAACUCACCAGGUCACUGCACCUGCACAAUGAGAUGCCAAGCCCCUCACCCGUCAUGACUUCCUCACUGACUGCCUGCUUCCUGUUGACCAACUCCUCUUCCUUACCCCUCCCUAAUUCCUGUUUUCCUGUACAUGGUGACAUACCUUCCUUGCUAUAUGAACCCUUAAUUUUAGUUGGUUGAGGAGAUAGAUUUGAGAAUGAUCUCCCAUUUCCUUGGAGCACCCGAUUAAAG